AGUGAAUCAUCGAAUCUUUGAACGUCACUCUUGCGCCCUUUGGUAUUCCGAAGGGCAUGCUUGUUUGAGUGUCAUUAAACAUCUCAAAAACCUUUGGUUUGUUCUGAAGGCUUUUGGAUGUGAGGGCUUGCUGGCUUUCGGGUCUGCUCCCUUUAAAUGCAUUAGUGUAUUCCUUUGUGAACGGUCACUUGGUGUGAUAAUCUAUCUACGCCGCUUGACUUGAAGCAAGCCUUAUGGGAGUGUCGCUCAUAAUCGUCUUUCGAGACAACUCUUUGACCAUUUGACCUCAAUCAAGUAGGACUACCUCGCUGAACUUAAGCAUAUC
rnacentral:rRNA from 1 species